CGAAAGAUUGAUUUAGUUACUUAUUAGGAUGAAUAAUUUUGAUAAAAAAUAAAAUCCAUAUAUAAUAAAAAUAAUGACAUUAAUUACUUUAUUAAUUAAAGUAUUUAUAUUUCAAAUAUAAAUAUAUAAUAGUCUUAACAAAUAAUUGUGCCAGCAGUUGCGGUUAUACAAUGAAGGCUAACGUUAAUCAUAAUGGUUUAAAGGAUUUGUAGAAUGAAUAUUUAUAUAAUAUUUAGAGUUAAUUAAAAUAUAAUUAAAGAAUUAUAAUAGUAAGGAUGAAAUAAUUAUAAUAAUUAUAAGACUGGUAAUAAUGAAAAUAUUAAUUAAUAAUUAACUGACAUUGAGAAAUGAAGACUAAAGUAGCGAAACAGAUUCGAUACCUGUGUAGUUUUAGUAGUAAACGAUGAAUACAUAUUAUUUAUAAAUAUAAUAUAAAUAAUAAAAUGAAAAUUAAAGUAUUCCACCUGAAGAGUAUAUUAGCAAUAAUGAAACUCAAGACAAUAGACGGUUACAGACUUAAGUAGUGGAGCAC
rnacentral:rRNA from 1 species